rnacentral:rRNA from 1 species
UACGAAGGGGGCUAGCGUUGCUCGGAAUCACUGGGCGUAAAGCGCACGUAGGCGGCUUUUUAAGUCAGGGGUGAAAUCCUGGAGCUCAACUCCAGAACUGCCUUUGAUACUGGGAAGCUUGAGUCCGGGAGAGGUGAGUGGAACUCCGAGUGUAGAGGUGAAAUUCGUAGAUAUUCGGAAGAACACCAGUGGCGAAGGCGGCUCACUGGCCCGGUACUGACGCUGAGGUGCGAAAGCGUGGGGAGCAAACGGG